rnacentral:rRNA from 1 species
CGGUGGCUAAUACCGCAUAACGUCGCAAGACCAAAGAGGGGGACCUUCGGGCCUCUUGCCAUCAGAUGUGCCCAGAUGGGAUUAGCUAGUUGGUGAGGUAACGGCUCACCAAGGCGACGAUCCCUAGCUGGUCUGAGAGGAUGACCAGCCACACUGGAACUGAGACACGGUCCAGACUCCUACGGGAGGCAGCAGUGGGGAAUAUUGCACAAUGGGCGCAAGCCUGAUGCAGCCAUGCCGCGUGUAUGAAGAAGGCCUUCGGGUUGUAAAGUACUUUCAGCGGGGAGGAAGGUGUUGUGGUUAAUAACCGCAGCAAUUGACGUUACCCGCAGAAGAAGCACCGGCUAACUCCGUGCCAGCAGCCGCGGUAAUACGGAGGGUGCAAGCGUUAAUCGGAAUUACUGGGCGUAAAGCGCACGCAGGCGGUCUGUCAAGUCGGAUGUGAAAUCCCCGGGCUCAACCUGGGAACUGCAUUCGAAACUGGCAGGCUUGAGUCUUGUAGAGGGGGGUAGAAUUCCAGGUGUAGCGGUGAAAUGCGUAGAGAUCUGGAGGAAUACCGGUGGCGAAGGCGGCCCCCUGGACAAAGACUGACGCUCAGGUGCGAAAGCGUGGGGAGCAAACAGGAUUAGAUACCCUGGUAGUCCACGCCGUAAACGAUGUCUACUUGGAGGUUGUGCCCUUGAGGCGUGGCUUCCGGAGCUAACGCGUUAAGUAGACCGCCUGGGGAGUACGGCCGCAAGGUUAAAACUCAAAUGAAUUGACGGGGGCCCGCACAAGCGGUGGAGCAUGUGGUUUAAUUCGAUGCAACGCGAAGAACCUUACCUGGUCUUGACAUCCACAGAACUUUCCAGAGAUGGAUUGGUGCCUUCGGGAACUGUGAGACAGGUGCUGCAUGGCUGUCGUCAGCUCGUGUUGUGAAAUGUUGGGUUAAGUCCCGCAACGAGCGCAAC